CGGGUCGAUCGAACGGUCGCGCGGUAUGGCGCCGUAAGGUAUUACCGUGAGGAAAGUCCGGGCUUCACAGGACAAGGAUAACGGAUAACGUCCGCCGUGGGUAACCACCGGGAAAGUGCAACAGAAACAAACCGCCGCACAAGCGGUAAGGAUGGAAAGGCGAGGUAAGAGCUCACCCGUUCCUAUGGCAACAUAGGUCCGCUGUAAACCCUAUCCGAAGCAACACCCCAAGGAGUGCUUUGUCCGGCAUUUGCUCCGGGGUGGCACGGAGAGAACAUCUCCGAAGCGUUUCCGGCAACGGAACGCGCAGAUUGAUGACCGUUCCCGACAGAACCCGGCUUACAGGUCGGCCCAAUAA
rnacentral:RNase_P_RNA from 1 species